rnacentral:misc_RNA from 1 species
AAUAUUAUGUGAUCUUCUGAGGAAUCAGCUUUGCUGCGCAUUAGUUGGCACUAUAAUAUUAGUGUAUUUUAUUUGUUUAUUAUUUGCCACUGCAUGAACCAAGUAAAUUAUGUGUUGCAUGGUUUUGGAAUCUACAAAUAACUUAAUGAAGUUCUCAAAAGUCCCCACCUUACUAAGCCAUAUUAUCGUGCUGUUAACUGCAAUAUGAGAGCAAAGCAGUUGAUAGGAUAAGAUCAUUUUUUAGUGUCCCUAGGAAAUGAUGUAAGAUAAAUUUUGCAUUUUG